rnacentral:rRNA from 1 species
GACGAACGCUGGCGGCGUGCUUAACACAUGCAAGUCGAACGGUAAGGCCCUUCGGGGUACACGAGUGGCGAACGGGUGAGUAACACGUGGGUGAUCUGCCCUGCACUUCGGGAUAAGCCUGGGAAACUGGGUCUAAUACCGGAUAGGACUCCUGGCUGCAUGGUCGGGGGUGGAAAGCUUUUGCGGUGUGGGAUGGGCCCGCGGCCUAUCAGCUUGUUGAUGGGGUAAUGGCCUACCAAGGCGACGACGGGUAGCCGGCCUGAGAGGGUGACCGGUCACACUGGGACUGAGAUACGGCCCAGACUCCUACGGGAGGCAGCAGUGGGGAAUAUUGCACAAUGGGCGCAAGCCUGAUGCAGCGACGCCGCGUGAGGGAUGACGGCCUUCGGGUUGUAAACCUCUUUCAGCUAUGACGAAGCGCAAGUGACGGUAGUAGCAGAAGAAGGACCGGCUAACUACGUGCCAGCCGCCGCCGUAA